ACCCUUUGGAGGAUUCCCAAGGAAAGCGCGGAUCUGAGCGAGCGCAACAAGGAGGGGAGGCACCUGCGGAGGAAGGCGGCUACAGACCCCAUCGCGCAUCCCCGGACCGACCCCGUCUGGGUACCGCGGUGUUGGUGUCACGCGCCCACACACUCAUCUGCCCUUCAUGGUCGUGGGAGUAACCGAGAUCGCUUCUCCAUCGCCUGGCACGUGGGUGUAAGGUUUGGGCAGGCAGUCUUAGCGAGGUGCGUUACAGUCGGUACCUGGUUAGUGGGCAUGUGCGUGCUGCCAGCAGCAGGUGUAGCCCCUCCUGCAAGGACCGACGUACAGCGUGAAUUUGCAGCCUGCGAAGCCAAGACUCAUGAUGUAAAUAGAUGCCAGUUCUUUAUCUGGGGCGGUGUUUUGCCAAUACGCACACGCACCAUGAAUAUGAUUUCUUCUUAUCAUUAAAGUAAUUGAUUGCGGAAGGAAAACCCACACAUACCAACACUGCAUACCAGUCAAGUUUGGCAGGCUGCGCUACUGUAUGCUUCAACUUCACUUGCAGCUGAGCUUUUAAAGGGCCGUUUUUGCAGCUCACAAGUGAAGGAGGAGAAAACGAAUGAAACACAAGGAGGUAGCUCCUUUAACCAUUUCAUGCCUUGUCUGGCUCUAGACAGUAAGACAACAGUCUGGGCAUUAAAUAGAUCCAAUCUUGUCAAUACUACUGCUUCAGCUUAUUAAGCACUACUGUUGUUUGAAUUCCUGCAACUAAGGGGUUCUCCAGGGAUCUGCACUGGGACCAGUGCUCCUCAACAUCUUUAUAAAUGACUUGGGCUGAGUGGUGCAAUUGAUACAACAGAAGGAAGGGAUGCCAUCCAGAGAGAACUGAACAAGCUUGAAAAGUGGGCCCACACGUACUGAACUGAGAUUCAACAAGGCUAAUCACAUGUGGAACAGUUCCAGGUACUUAUACCGACUGGGAGAAGAAUUCACUAAGAACACUCCUGCAGAGAAGUUCUUGGGGUUCUGGUGGAAUGAACAGUUGAAUAUGAGUCAGCAAUGUGCACCUGCAACCCAGAAGGCCAACAGUAUCCUGGGCCCACCAGAAGAGAGUGGCCAACAGGGACAGGGAAGGGAAUGUCUGCCUCCUCUCUGCCCUCAUGAGUCCCCAUCCAGAGUAUUGCAUUCAGGUUGGGGGCCCCCAGCAUAGCAAAACUGUGGAACUUUUCAAAUGGGUGCAGAGGAGAACUACAAAGAUGAUCAGAGGGAUGGAGCACCUCUCCUGUGAGGACAGGCUAAGGAAGUUGGGCUUGUUCAGUCUGGAGAAAACAAGGAGGUGGGAGACCUCACUGCAGCCUUCUGGUACUUAAAAGGGAGAUUAUAAACAAGAGGGAGACUGACUUUUUACACAUGCAGAUAACGACAGGACAAGGAGAAGUGGUUUUAAACUUAGAGGGGAGAUUUAUGUUAGUUAUGACAAGGGUCAGUGAUGAAUCACAUGAACGGAUUUCCCAGAGAAGCUGUGGAUGUCCAAUCCGUGCUGGUGCUCAAGGCCAGGUUGGAUGGACCCUUGGGCAGCCAUGUCUGGAGGAUGGCAAACUGCCCAUGGCUGGGGAUUGUAACUAGAUGAUCUUUGAGGUCCCUUCCAUCACAAGCCAUUCCAUGAUUCUGUGAACUAACAAACUUACUGUAUACAAUCACACAAAUAGGUAUUUUCCAAUCUUUCCAAUCAAGAGAUGAAAAAAAGGGUCAUCAAACCAAGUACCAGUGAAAGCAGAAAAAACAAAAAACAAACAAACAAACCCCCCUCCCCACCCCCCCCCCCCACACACAGACAAAACCAACAAUCAGUGAACAAACAAACAAAACAAACAAAAAACACACAAUCAAAAUAAAGCAAAGAAAAUAAAGCAUCUUGGAACACAUCACAGUUUCCCAGAUCUGGCUUGCUUGGAUGGUAGCAGCUGUUGGGGGGUCUUGCAUACAGUGCAGUAGAAACCAUGCUUUCAUUCUCUAUUUAUUUCCUAUUCCCCACCUUCCACAUGCGUCUCAAACCGUGGUCCUAAUGAUCGCUUUCUCC